AUUGAACGCUGGCGGCAUGCCUUACACAUGCAAGUCGAACGGCAGCGACCGGGAGCGAACUCCUGGUUGGCGAGUGGCGAACGGGUGAGUAAAGUAUCGGAACGUACCUUUCAGUGGGGGAUAACGUAGCGAAAGUUACGCUAAUACCGCAUAUUCUGUGAGCAGGAAAGCAGGGGAUCGCAAGACCUUGCGCUGAUUGAGCGGCCGAUAUCAGAUUAGCUAGUUGGUGGGGUAAAGGCCUACCAAGGCGACGAUCUGUAGCGGGUCUGAGAGGAUGAUCCGCCACACUGGAACUGAGACACGGUCCAGACUCCUACGGGAGGCAGCAGUGGGGAAUUUUGGACAAUGGGCGAAAGCCUGAUCCAGCCAUGCCGCGUGAGUGAAGAAGGCCUGG
rnacentral:rRNA from 1 species